rnacentral:rRNA from 1 species
UACGUAGGGUGCAAGCGUUAAUCGGAAUUACUGGGCGUAAAGCGUGCGCAGGCGGUCUUGCAAGACAGGUGUGAAAUCCCCGGGCUUAACCUGGGAAUGGCGUUUGAAACUGGCUAUCUAGAGUGCGUCAGAGGGGGGUGGAAUUCCACGUGUAGCAGUGAAAUGCGUAGAGAUGUGGAGGAACACCGAUGGCGAAGGCAGCCCCCUGGGAUGACACUGACGCUCAUGCACGAAAGCGUGGGGAGCAAACAGG